rnacentral:rRNA from 1 species
UACGUAGGUGGCAAGCGUUGUUCGGAAUAACUGGGCGUAAAGGAUGCGUAGGCGGUUAAACAAGUUAUAUGUUAAAUAUAUAGGCUUAACCUGUAGAAAGCAUAUAAAACUGUUUAACUAGAGUGCAGGGGAGGUAAGUGGAAUUCCUAGUGUAGCGGUGAAAUGCGUAGAGAUUAGGAAGAACACCAGUGGCGAAGGCGACUUACUGGACUGUAACUGACGCUGAGGCAUGAGAGCAUGGGGAGCAAACAGG